GGCCUCCCAAAGUGCUGGGAUUACAGGCAUGAGCCCCCACUCCCGGCCAACAAUACAUUCUUUAAUAAUAAGUAAUAAACAUUUUUAAAUACAUUUAAUACUUUUAAUAAUACUAAAAUUAAUUUAAAUAAUAAUUUUAAUAUUUUAAUAAUAUCUCAAAUAUUUUCAACAUGUCAAUAUGUAUAUAGCCUAGCAUUUGGUUGGAGAAGGUGUAUUUCUUUUGCGUACGUGUUAGAGUUGGGAAAAUAGAGAACAAUGUAUGGUUACAAUAUAUUGUAAAUAUGGUUGAAAAUGUGGUUGUAAUCAUCAAUUGACUAUCACAAUUCUUUCAAUUACAAAAUAGUUUGUGAACAUGCCAUACAAAUAAAAAGUAGUACUACUAAGUAUAAAAUUCCAAACAUCUUGGGGCUACCUGUUAAAAUUCACCCUGUACUCUUGAAAGCAAACAUGCAUCUAAAUAAACUAAAAUAAAGAUUUUACUACA
rnacentral:lncRNA from 1 species